UGAUACUGCAAUAUCCACAUGUGGUGAUAAGCGAUUGUUAGAGCGGACGAUACGACGAGUGAACAUAGUUGACUUUACAACCUUCUUGAAGAACUCAACCCUGUUGCUUCAUCAACGUCCACUGGCGUGACCACUAGGCUGUGAAACUGGAGGAUCAUGGGGAGCUAUAAACUAAGAAUUAUUGUUAAUGAACAGGAUAUACAUAAAGUUUCACUACAUGUGAAACCAGAAACAGUUGAAGAUCUGAUGAUGAUAAUUAAAGAAAAAUGCAAACUCAAGGAAGACUUUAAUCUUAUGUAUGAGGAUCCAGAUUUUGAUAAUUCCCUCUGCAACCUUGAUGAUGUACAAGAUUUGCCGGCUUCAAAAGCUACUGUCAAGAUCAUACCAUUAGUGACGCUGACAGUGAUACCUACCACCUGCACGCCUACCACCUGCACCUCUGGUGUAUCUGAUGGCUCCUCAGAUGAUACAGUGAUUCUGUCGACACCAAGCCCAUCAGCAAGACAAGAGCAAUGGCCAGAGUUUUUUGACAUUCCAAAUUUUCCUGUUGAUGUGGAAUUCAGGCUAAGACAGGCCAAUCUUCUGUAUUUACAAGACCGUACUUGCUUGAAUGUACCAAGAGACAUGAAGCAUGGUAUUUUGGAGAGAAUCGCUGAAGAGAUCUACAGAUUUGAUGCCUAUCCGAAUGAAGAACGAUGCCAUUCUGUGGCAUUAGCACUCAUAACAAAACAUCCCUGUCUGAGGGAACCAGGCUCACCAGAUGGGUGUUCUGGCUGGAAGAACAGCUUGAUGUACAAAAUGGGGAACUAUCGCACUAAACUGAGGAAAGCAGGAUGUGCAGAAGUUGCAAUAAAUGCAGGGAUAAGACGUACACCACAAGUGGGA